rnacentral:rRNA from 1 species
GGUUAAGUGACUAAGCGUACACGGUGGAUGCCUUGGCAGUUGGAGGCGAUGAAGGACGUAUUAACUUGCGAUAAGCCUAGUCAAGCUAGUAAAAAGCACUUGAGACUAGGAUUUCCGAAUGGGGAAACCCACCUGCUUGCAGGUAUCGUUAACUGAAUACAUAGGUUAACGAGGCGAACGCGGAGAACUGAAACAUCUAAGUACCCGUAGGAAAAGAAAUCAACCGAGAUUCCGAAAGUAGCGGCGAGCGAAAUCGGAACAGCCCUUAAGCUUAUUAUGUGUUAAUGGAAGGCUGCUGGAAAGCGCCACGAUACAGGGUGAUAGUCCCGUACAUGAAAAGACAUUUUAAGUGAAAUCGAGUAGGUCGGAGCACGUGAAACUUUGACUGAAUAUAGGUGGACCAUCAUCUAAGGCUAAAUACUCCCAACUGACCGAUAGUGAACCAGUACCGUGAGGGAAAGGCGAAAAGAACCCCUGUGAGGGGAGUGAAAUAGAACCUGAAACCGUGUACGUACAAGCAGUAGGAGCCCACUUGUUGGGUGACUGCGUACCUUUUGUAUAAUGGGUCAGCGACUUAUAUUUUGUAGCGAGGUUAACCGAUUAGGGUAGCCGUAGGGAAACCGAGUCUUAACUGGGCGAAUAGUUGCAAGGUAUAGACCCGAAACCCGGUGAUCUAGCCAUGAGCAGGUUGAAGGUUGAGUAACAUCAACUGGAGGACCGAACCCACUAACGUUGAAAAGUUAGGGGAUGACUUGUGGUUAGGAGUGAAAGGCUAAUCAAACCGGGAGAUAGCUGGUUCUCCCCGAAAUCUAUUUAGGUAGAGCCUCGGACGAAUACUUACGGGGGUAGAGCACUGUUAAGGCUAGGGGGUCAUCCCGACUUACCAACCCUUUGCAAACUCCGAAUACCGUAAAGUAAUAUCCGGGAGACACACGGCGGGUGCUAACGUCCGUCGUGAAGAGGGAAACAACCCAGACCGCCAGCUAAGGUCCCAAAGUCAUAGUUAAGUGGGAAACGAUGUGGAAAGGCCCAGACAGCCAGGAGGUUGGCUUAGAAGCAGCCAUCCUUUAAAGAAAGCGUAAUAGCUCACUGGUCGAGUCGGUCUGCGCGGAAGAUGUAACGGGGCUAAACUAUGCACCGAAGCUGCGGAUUCAUCUUAGGAUGAGUGGUAGGGGAGCGUUCUGUAAGCCGUUGAAGGUGUACCGGGAGGUAUGCUGGAGGUAUCAGAAGUGCGAAUGCUGACAUGAGUAACGAUAAUGGGAGUGAAAAACUCCCACGCCGGAAGACCAAGGGUUCCUAUCCCAUGUUAAUCAGGGUAGGGUAAGUCGACCCCUAAGGCGAGGCCGAAAGGCGUAGUCGAUGGGAAACAGAUUAAUAUUUCUGUACUCGAUAUAAUUGCGAUGGGGGGACGGAGCAGGCUAAGCAAGCAUGGCGUUGGUAGUCCAUGUGAAAGUGAGUAGGGCGUUUGUUUAGGUAAAUCCGGACGAACACUAAACCUGAGACACGAGACGAGUCACUAAGGUGAUGAAGUUGCUGAUGCCAUACUUCCAGGAAAAGCCUCUAAGCUUCAGAUUAUAUGGAAUCGUACCCCAAACCGACACAGGUGGUCAGGUAGAGAAUACUAAGGCGCUUGAGAGAACUCGGGUGAAGGAACUAGGCAAAAUCGUACCGUAACUUCGGGAGAAGGUACGCUCCUAUCUGUGAUGAGACUUGCUCUCUAAGCGGACGGGAGCCGCAGUGACCAGGUGGCUGGGACUGUUUAUUAAAAACACAGCACUGUGCAAAAUCGCAAGAUGACGUAUACGGUGUGACACCUGCCCGGUGCCGGAAGGUUAAUUGAUGGGGUUAUCCUUAGGGAGAAGCUCUUGAUCGAAGCCCCGGUAAACGGCGGCCGUAACUAUAACGGUCCUAAGGUAGCGAAAUUCCUUGUCGGGUAAGUUCCGACCUG